UGAGUAAUGUCUGGGAAACUGCCUGAUGGAGGGGGAUAACUACUGGAAACGGUAGCUAAUACCGCAUAACGUCUUCGGACCAAAGUGGGGGACCUUCGGGCCUCAUGCCAUCAGAUGUGCCCAGAUGGGAUUAGCUAGUAGGGUGGGGUAAUGGCUCACCUAGGCGACAAUCCCUAGCUGGUCUGAGAGGAUGACCACCCACACUGGAACUGAAACACGGUCCAAACUCCUACGGGAGGCACCGUGGGGGAAUAUUGCACAAUGGGGCGCAGCCCUGAUGCACCCAUGCCCCGUGUAUGAAAAAGGCCUUCGGGUUGUAAAGUACUUUCAGCGAGGAGGAAGGCAUUAGGUUAAUAACCUUAUGAUUGACGUUACUCGCAAAAAAAACCCCGGCUAAUUCCGUGCCACCAGCCGCGGUAAUACGGAGGGGGCAAGCGUUAACCGGAUUUCUGGGGCUAUAAGCGCCCCAGGCGGUCUGUCAAGUCGGAUGUGAAAUCCCGGGG
rnacentral:rRNA from 1 species